ACCCUAAUAGUUCAUAACGUUUGAAUUUGAACCCUCCAGGUGCUGCAAAGCUAUCUUUAUAUUCAUUUUGGCAAAAAUUAAGUGGAUUUCUACAACUCGUUUCAACUCCUUCUUAAUUUGGUGCAUUUAAUAACUAGU